GAUGACUUUGGGCUUCAAAUGAAUUUGUGAUUCCGAGUUCAAGCCGAAGCUUUGAUCCUGUGCUCCGAGAUACACAUCCAGCCAGUCUUGUCUGCAUCAUUUGCAUCAUAGCAUGUUUAUUUUCAAAAAAAUUAUGCAAUAAAAAAAAAUGAAAGAAAAAGAGAAAAAGAAAAAAAACUAAUCUCGGCAUGCAUAUCAUUUCUCAGGUUCCUUCAGGAGUUCGAUUCAUUGAU
rnacentral:lncRNA from 1 species